CUGGCCGGAUGCGAUGGUCGCGAACGGCGCGUUGUCGGCGUCGUCCGAGGAAAGUCCGAGCUCCGCCGGGUAGACUGCCAGGUAACGCCUGGGCGCCGCAAGGCGACGGACAGGGCCACAGAAAACAGACCGCCACGCCUCGAGCUUCACCGCCCGGGAUCCGUGGUAAGGGUGAAACGGUGGGGUAAGAGCCCACCGCGGCGCUGGCAACAGCGACGGCACGGCAACCCCCAGUCGGAGCAAGGCCAAAUAGGCGGCGAGGUGUGACCCACACCGACCAUCCCGAGCCCGAGCGCAAGCGGAGGUGAAGGAAGCCGCGGGUAGGCUGCUGGAAGCGGUCGGCGACGGCCGCGGGAGACAGAUGACCAUCCUGCUGCCGGGGCGACCCGCGCAGGAGAACAGAACUCGGCUUACGGCCCGACCAGCGCC
rnacentral:RNase_P_RNA from 1 species